AACGAACGCUGGCGGCAUGCCUAACACAUGCAAGUCGAACGAGACCUUCGGGUCUAGUGGCGCACGGGUGCGUAACGCGUGGGAACCUGCCCUUAGGUUCGGAAUAACUCCCCGAAAGGGGUGCUAAUACCGGAUAAUGUCUUCGGACCAAAGAUUUAUCGCCUUUGGAUGGGCCCGCGUUGGAUUAGCUAGUUGGUAGGGUAAAAGCCUACCAAGGCGACGAUCCAUAGCCGGUCUGAGAGGAUGAUCAGCCACACUGGGACUGAGACACGGCCCAGACUCCUACGGGAGGCAGCAGUGGGGAAUAUUGGACAAUGGGCGAAAGCCUGAUCCAGCAAUGCCGCGUGAGUGAUGAAGGCCUUAGGGUUGUAAAGCUCUUUUACCCGGGAUGAUAAUGACAGUACCGGGAGAAUAAACUCCGGCUAACUCCGUG
rnacentral:rRNA from 1 species